rnacentral:lncRNA from 1 species
GUUUGCAAUAUAGCUCUACUCCUAGACAAACAAGUAAGCCAAUAAUCAUAUAUAUACGCCGUAUAAAAGUUAAUGUAACUUAUCUAUUGAUAUAGACAUCGUUCAAUAUUAUUCUCUUAUACCGACUGCUCUACUUUCUAUGAAAUGUUAGACUACAACUUCAUUUUUACGGUCUUUCCUUUUUCUAUAAGGAAAGACCUUACUGUAUUUCUUCUGAUUAUUAUUAUUAUUAGGUCUUUCCACUUUUCCGUAGAAAGACCUAUUGGUUUUCUCCUGAUUAUUAUUAUUAGGUCUUUUAACCUUUCGGUUGAAAGACCUAUAGGUUUUGUUCUGAUUAUUAUUAUUAGGUCUUUCCACCUUUCGUGUGGAAAGACCUAUUGAUUUUGUUCUGAUUAUUUUUUUUUUCUUCCGCCUAAUUUUUUUCUUGCAGUGUAAAAAUGUUUCAAAAGAUGUCGCUUAGUUCUUUUGUAUAUGAGAUCAUACAGUCUAUACGCUUUUGAAACUCACCCUGUUUAACCAAACACUUUUCUUUGUAAGAGUUAUCUCCCAAAACACUGUUUUUCUUGUUAUCAGAUCUCCUCCGCAACCGUAAAAGAAAGCGACAAAUUUAUUUUUCCAAAUUGCUCGUUAUAUCCUCAGGAUGUUACGUUUUAUUUUGACCGAAGCUUUACGAAGACCCCAUAUGAGAGUAAUUUCCCCUUUUGUAUUGAAAUAAGUGAAAUAAAAUUGGAACUGGAAAACCAUAAGUGAUAGAGGCCUAGGGUCUUUUGAUUUGAGGCCCUUGCUCAAAAAGUAUGAAAAUGAGGUCAAGGUCAAAGGUCAUGUUCAAAUUUUUGAUUAUGGCUUGUUAUCUCUUAUUUUCAGAAAUCAUACAAGAUAUCGACAAAAUAUUUUCACACAAUUGUUAGUUGCGACAUGUCGUAACAUGUAAAUUUUACUUAAAAGGGUACGUAAUAUUUAAUGUGAGUUUUGCCCCCUUUUAUAUCUAAUAUUAGUUGUAUGGUAAUAUAACUCAUUAACAAUAUAAAGUAGAGGCCUAGAGUCUUUUGAUUUGAG